CUCUCUGUGUGUGAUGAGUACCAACACCAGCGGGGACAGAGCCAACAGUUUUGAAAAGGAAAAGAAACUCCAUUUAAAAUUUGUGAAUAUUAUUUUAAUUGUUGAUAGCUCCUGUGCCUCCACUCUAAAUAAAUGAACUAUGUGAAUAAAAGUCAUGGUGACAUCCAUCCCGCCUGUGCUGGUCCUGAUGUAACUUGGGUGAGGAAAAGCAGAUGUUCCUUGUGCUGGGCCAAAGCAAUCUUGUCAUGACUGCUCUGCUUUCAAGCCAUCCACACAGAAAGUAACCUGCAGACCGCACUGCCCAGAUUCCUGUUUUCACCUGCAAGGAUGACAGAUUUUAUAGCAAGGACCGUGACUUGCUGUGCAGCUUAUUGUCACAGGGCUUUAUGUUUUACAGGGGACUAGGCUGCUAGCCAAGUCUGCCUGGGACUGGUUUUAUGUGGUCUCUGAUAUUCCUUUUGUGGAAAUGAUAGUUCAGUGCAAGGCUGACCUCCAUGAUGCCCCUCAGUGUCUUCAGGGGCUGUGUUGCUACAGGCAUCACCAGCAUCCCUUCAAGUUCUGACGUCUUCUCUUUCUGGGCUUCUGCACAUUAGUGGAUAUGGCAUCAGUAUUGAUGAACUCCAGGAGGAUGGUCUGAUGGCUGGUGGAGAAAUUAGUCAGGAGGAGGUGACCCUGCAGGGCUCAGAAAUGUGCAGGCUGGAGGCAGCUAAAGUGGGGCCUGUAGAGGAAGAGGAGCAGCAUCACAUCACCAGCACUGAGGGCUUCUCAGCACUGUGCCCAGCCCUGCCCCAUGGGCCCUGGGGGGCUGAGGAGGAUCCAGGUUUCUUGGGCCUGAAGUUUAGUUUGCAUAAUCCAGUGGAGCCCUCUUUAAGUAAAAGAACACAAAGUUGUGUAUAUAAAAUUAUUCAUGACACAACAUGCAAAGAAUUCACAACAGAUCACAUAGUGUAAAAACGUAAUAAAUACUUGCGGGUGUGGUGCCUCAUGCCUGUAAUCCAGCACUGUGGGAGGAGGAUCAUUUGAGCGUAGGAGUUUGAGGUUGCUGUGAGCUAUGAUGAUGCCACAGCACUCUACCCAGGGCACAGAGUGAAACUCUGUCUAAAAAAACCCACAGAAAACAAACCAAAAAUCCUAAUAAAUAACACAAAAUCAUGAAACCCAGAAAAAUAUUAUUUUAUGCUUGUAUCAUACUUCUCUCCCCUCCCAUAUUCUUUGGCUGUAUAUUUCUGGUUGUGUUUUUAAAGAAAUUUAUAAUUUCAUUUCUUCUAGAGAGGAUAGAAUGAUUCCAUCUUUCCUCUGGCAUGGUCGAUUGAAAUUUACUUAUAUAUGGUUUGAACGCUUUGCUUGGUAGCAUCACUUAAAAUUCUAAGGUGGUUGUUAAAUACAGGAUAACACCUAUCAAAUUCUCUUUACAUGAAGCUAAAAAAUUUGAAUGGAUGCCUCCCCAGCCUGGCUCUGGCUCCGCCAAAGCCACAGUGCAUUGCCAUGUGGUGGGAUUCUGGCCUGCCCCCCAGCAUCUGAGGCUGGUGGGUUGGCACAGUGGGUGGGGGGAGUUUUCCUGGAAGCCAUUUCCACCCUGGAAUGAUAAGCAGUAACCUUAACUAUGCACAAACACAUCUGCAAACAAGACUAGCAUGUUGGUCCAGGUCCAGCUAAAUGUGUUUCUAACCCAGCUUCCCCUUUGCUGAAUCCCCAGACCAGUGAUUUUUCAACCAGUGUGCAGUGAGAGGGUCUCAGAUGUGCUGCGAAAAAUUUUGAAGAUCAUUAAUUAAAUUAUUUUUGGAAGAAGUUCAAAGCACAGUGCCAGCAGAGACUAAUUGGUUUAAUAAAGGAGUGGAAGGAAGACCCAAACAGGAGACCCAACUGAACAGGCAUCAGAGAACUGAGGAAGGCAAGUGGUGCCACGUUCCUGAGGUCAUAAUGUAGGGUAUGUCUAGAAGAGACAGAGUCUCACUUUAUGGCCCUCGGUAGGGUGCCAUGGCAUCACACAGCUCACAGCAGUUGGAACUCCUGGGCUUAAGUGAUUC